AGAGACAGCAGCCGCCGCGGGAAUACGUAGGGUGCAAGCGUUAAUCGGAUUUACUGGGCGUAAAGCGUGCGUAGGCGGCUUUUUAAGUCGGAUGUGAAAUCCCUGAGCUUAACUUAGGAAUUGCAUUCGAUACUGGGAAGCUAGAGUAUGGGAGAGGAUGGUAGAAUUCCAGGUGUAGCGGUGAAAUGCGUAGAGAUCUGGAGGAAUACCGAUGGCGAAGGCAGCCAUCUGGCCUAAUACUGACGCUGAGGUACGAAAGCAUGGGGAGCAAACAGGAUUAGAGACCCCCGUAGUCCCUGUCUCUUAUAC
rnacentral:rRNA from 1 species